AAAGCUGCUCUCAGAUAACCUGGGUACAGCCACAGCAGCGCUGCAUCCAUCAGGACACCUGCACACAUCCUGAUUCCUCUGCUCUGAACCCGUAAUGGAAACGUCCACCCCGCGCCAGGGGUGAGAGGGAAUAAUCACAAAGAGAGAACGUUCCGUGUGCCUGAGCAGCUGAUCUUUGAAGAGGAUGGCGAGGACGGCAGAGGAUGCCUGGGUCUCAGUGCCUUUUGCCUGGGAAUAAGCACCACGAAGCCAGAAAUCCAAGGGCUCCAGCAGGGAGAGCUCAGGGAAUUCCAUCCCUGCCUCGGCUGCCCGAGCACAGCGAAUCUCUCAUCUCCCCGUUCCUCCUAAAAUCCACAUUGCUGCGAACACGGAGCACUUGGGGCAGCUGAACCACCCAGAACAGAGGGAACUGCAGUCGAACCCAUGAAACAUCCAUUUUACAGGCGAUGGGCGCUGAUUCCCAGAGAAUUCAAGUACCUGGAGAAAGAGACAAAGAGUUCAGAGCUUCAGUCCUCUGACAGAAAUGUCGGAGUUUGUUCUAAAUUGCUCUUGAGUUUCCUGAAUGCUAAAGAAAGGAGGAGGAUUUAAAAAAAAAAAAAAAGGAAAAAAAAAAGAAAGAAAAAAAGGAAAACCAGAAAUAAUGAGGAGUUUUAUAUCCCAGGCUAAAUAAACAGGAUUAUUGACACUGCCUGCACUGAACAGGUUUCCUGCCUGGGGCAGGGCAGAAAAGGGAGGCGAAAAAAGCUUUCCUCCAGCUCAAGGAGUGGCAGAAAUCGGAGCAGAUUUUUGGUACAAUCUGGUUUUUCAGGCACUGCACAUCUCUGGAGCCCUGAGUCUGGCCCCGCGGCCGGGGAACCACAGAGCCAGAUUUCCGGAAUUACUGCAGAAACUGCACUUUUGAAAACUUCAUCCCUGCUGCGGGCAUGAUCAAGGGAUAAUUAGGAUUUACUGAAGCCUGCAACCUUUCUGCUCCGCUCCUUCUCUGCGCUUCAUGAAAGGGAGAAGAUGAGAGCCUGCACAGCUUGCGAGCCCUUUUCCUUUGUUUUUGUUAUCACCUUGAAGCACACACGGCCAUGACAGAGCUGGGGACGAGGAUUCACAAAUCACUGAUGGAUUUGGCUGGCAAGGCCCUGCAAAACCAUUCAUCAGCACUGCUGUCCCCUCACCCUUGGCCAGCUGCAGAGGCUCCCUCACCAAUCCCCAAAUCCAGGUGGAGAAGGCUGGGAUGACACUCCACAAACACCCCAGAACAAAUCCAAAUCCGUGAAGAGCCCAUAGCGAAGGACCAUUGGACAUGGACACCCACAGCGGGCAGUAAGGGAAAGUCGAGAAGCGUCUCUGCAAAUCUCACCGGGAGCCCAGUGAGCAAAGAUGCUGCCUUUGGACUCUGCUGUCCAGAACAUCCAACCAGGACUGCAGGAACAGCAGCCAGGACAGCUGGACACGGAUGGACCCACCACACUUGGGUCAAGGCCUCUAAAACCCUGGAGCUCUGGACUUUUCAGCUGGAAGGAAACAUGGGAGCCCUCAGCUCUCAGUAGCCACAGAUGAUGUACAAGGAGCUCCAGUGAUUGAUGGGCUAGCAUGAACUGGCAUUGUCUACCUUGUUCUCUGUAUUUCCUGUAUUCUCUGCUUCUCUGUGUUCCCUUGGCACCCCUGGGGCAGGGACCAGCUGUGGAACAGUGGGGAGGGGCUGCUUCAGGUGUUGCAGGUUGUUAAAAAGGGUGAAGUUAAUGAUAACUUGGGUUUGUAAAGACAGCUUGAGAACUGAGAAGAGGAGGGAUUGAGAGGAAAGAUGUGUGCUGAUGCCUUUACAAACAAUUCUGUGGAUGAAAGUGUGGGUGUGAACAUCUUUGGAAUGGUCUGACUGUCUCUACUGCCCCAUGGCCUCUCUCCCUUUAUUGGAAUAAAGUUGCAGGACUGCUCUGUCUCCUUUUUGGACAUAAA